rnacentral:rRNA from 1 species
GACGAACGCUGGCGGCGUGCUUAACACAUGCAAGUCGAACGGAAAGGCCCUGCUUUUGUGGGGUGCUCGAGUGGCGAACGGGUGAGUAACAAGUGAGUAACCUGCCCUUGACUUUGGGAUAACUUCAGGAAACUGGUGCUAAUACCGGAUAGGAGCUCCUGCUGCAUGGUGGGGGUUGGAAAGUUUCGGCGGUUGGGGAUGGACUCGCGGCUUAUCAGCUUGUUGGUGGGGUAGUGGCUUACCAAGGCUUUGACGGGUAGCCGGCCUGAGAGGGUGACCGGCCACAGUGGGACUGAGAUACGGCCCAGACCACUACGGGAGGCAGCAGUGGGGAAUAUUGCACAAUGGGCGGAAGCCUGAUGCAGCAACGCCGCGUGCGGGAUGACGGCAUUCGGGUUGUAAACCGCUUUCGCCUGUGACGAAGCGUGAGUGACGGUAAUGGGUAAAGAAGCACCGGCUAACUACGUG